rnacentral:rRNA from 1 species
UACGGGGGGGGCAAGCGUUGUUCGGAAUUACUGGGCGUAAAGGGGCUGUAGGCGGCCAACUAAGUCCGACGUGAAAUCCCAAGGCUUAACCUUGGAACUGCGUCGGAUACUGGAUGGCUUGAAUUCGGGAGAGGGAUGCAGAAUUCCAGGUGUAGCGGUGAAAUGCGUAGAUAUCUGGAGGAACACCGGUGGCGAAGGCGGCAUCCUGGACCAACACUGACGCUGAGUGAGCGAAAGCCAGGGGAGCAAACGGG